GGCGUGCUAUACAUGCAAGUCGAGCGGACAGAAGGGAGCUUGCUCCGGGAUGUAGCGGCGGACGGGUGAGUAACACGUGGGUAACCUGCCUGUAAGACUGGGAUAACUCCGGGAAACCGGAGCUAAUACCGGAUAGUUCCUUGAACCGCAUGGUUCAAGGAUGAAAGACGGUUUCGGCUGUCACUUACAGAUGGACCCGCGGCGCAUAGCUAGUUGGUGAGGUAACGGCUCACCAAGGCGACGAUGCGUAGCCGACCUGAGAGGGUGAUCGGCCACACUGGGACUGAGACACGGCCCAGACUCCUACGGGAGGCAGCAGUAGGGAAUCUUCCGCAAUGGACGAAAGUCUGACGGAGCAACGCCGCGUGAGUGAUGAAGGUUUUCGGAUCGUAAAGCUCUGUUGUUAGGGAAGAACAAGUGCAAGAGUAACUGCUUGCACCUUGACGGUACCUAACCAGAAAGCCACGGCUAACUACGUGCCAGCAGCCGCGGUAAUACGUAGGUGGCAAGCGUUGUCCGGAAUUAUUGGGCGUAAAGGGCUCGCAGGCGGUUUCUUAAGUCUGAUGUGAAAGCCCCCGGCUCAACCGGGGAGGGUCAUUGGAAACUGGGAAACUUGAGUGCAGAAGAGGAGAGUGGAAUUCCACGUGUAGCGGUGAAAUGCGUAGAGAUGUGGAGGAACACCAGUGGCGAAGGCGACUCUCUGGUCUGUAACUGACGCUGAGGAGCGAAAGCGUGGGGAGCGAACAGGAUUAGAUACCCUGGUAGUCCACGCCGUAAACGAUGAGUGCUAAGUGUUAGGGGGUUUCCGCCCCUUAGUGCUGCAGCUAACGCAUUAAGCACUCCGCCUGGGGAGUACGGUCGCAAGACUGAAACUCAAAGGAAUUGACGGGGGCCCGCACAAGCGGUGGAGCAUGUGGUUUAAUUCGAAGCAACGCGAAGAACCUUACCAGGUCUUGACAUCCUCUGACAACCCUAGAGAUAGGGCUUUCCCUUCGGGGACAGAGUGACA
rnacentral:rRNA from 1 species